UAUCUUCAACAGUUUUGAAGUAUAGCACUUUGAAAUGUCUCCAAUUAUAAACCAAUGGGGAUGUUUACAAUUUCAAAAAUUCAUAAAAAAAUUCAAAAAUCAAUAUUUUCCAGUUUUUUGAACAAACUUGGUAGACCUUAGCCCAAAGAUGUUCCACAACAAAUAUCAAGUCAUUCUGGCUGAUGGUUUCGGAGAAGAUUCUU